UACCAGCACCCCGAGUGGUCGGGACGUUUAUUGGGCCUAAAGCAUCCGUAGCCGGUUCUACAAGUCUUCCGUUAAAUCCAACUGCUUAACAGGUGGGCUGCGGAAGAUACUAUAGAGCUAGGAGGCGGGAGAGGCAAGCGGUACUCGAUGGGUAGGGGUAAAAUCCGUUGAUCCAUUGAAGACCACCAGUGGCGAAGGCGGCUUGCCAGAACGCGCUCGACGGUGAGGGAUGAAAGCUGGGGGAGCAAGCCGG
rnacentral:rRNA from 1 species